rnacentral:rRNA from 1 species
UACGGAGGAUCCAAGCGUUAUCCGGAAUCAUUGGGUUUAAAGGGUCCGUAGGCGGUUUAGUAAGUCAGUGGUGAAAGCCCAUCGCUCAACGGUGGAACGGCCAUUGAUACUGCUGAACUUGAAUUAUUAGGAAGUAACUAGGAUAUGUAGUGUAGCGGUGAAAUGCUUAGAUAUUACAUGGAAUACCAAUUGCGAAGGCAGGUUACUACUAAUGGAUUGACGCUGAUGGACGAAAGCGUGGGGAGCGAACAGG